CAGCAGCCGCGGGAAUACCAGCAGCCCAAGUGGUGGUCGCGUUUAUUGGGCCUAAAGCGCUCGUAGCCUGGCCGGUAAGUUCCCCGUGAAAUCGGGUCGCCCAACGAUUCGGCUUGCGGGGAAUACUGUCGGUCUUGGGGCCGGGAGACGCCGAGGGUACUCCGGGGGUAGCGGUGAAAUGCUGUAAUCCUCGGGGGACUACCAGUGGCGAAGGCGCUCGGCGAUAACGGGCCUGACGGUGAGGGGCGAAAGCUGGGGGCGCGAACGGGAUUAGAUACCCGAGUAGUCCCUGUCUCUUAUA
rnacentral:rRNA from 1 species